rnacentral:tRNA from 1 species
GGUCUAUUCGCUCAAUUGGUUAGAGUGUCGUGCUAAUAACCUAAAAGCCACAAGUUCGAAUCCUGUAUAAUCUG